UCACCGCAACCUCCGCCUCCUGGGUUCAGGCGAUUCUGCCUCAGCCUCCUGAGUAGCUGGGAUUACAGGCACACGCCACCAUGCCCAGCUAAUUUUUUGUAUUUUUAGUAGAGACGGGGGUUCACCAUGUUGACCAGUAUGGUCUCGGUCUGUUGACCUCAUGACCCACCCACCUCGGCCUCCCAAAGUGCUGGGAUUACAGGCUUGAGCCACCGCGCCCGGCCCAAUUCUAAACUUUUAUAUGUGACAACCUAGUAGACAGCUCCUACUGCUCCUUGCACAUGCAGCAGCAAAAUGAAUGUAUAUUUAAAAAAAUAAACAAACAAGAAACAAAGAACAUACAUAUAAUAAUAAGAGAAUCAUCAUGCAUUUACUCUGCCAGCUGUGUUAAAAUCUGGGAAGCAUCUUAGACUCAUUCCCAUGUCUGUAUCUUACUCACCUGUAGAUUUUAACAAUAGAAUUAUGUAGAUUUUAAUAAACUAGACUAUUUUUCCAUUUUCAUUCCUGGAGCAUGGGUUCUUAUCUCAACUGGAUUAGCACAAAGAGUUUAUCAACUAUUCAGACCCUUUUGCAUCCUCUAUCCUACUUACAAGAGUAAUUUUUUCCAAACUAUAGUAAAAAAAAAACAAAAAAUACAUGAAGAAAUAAUACCAUGUGUCUCCCCCAAGUUAAAACUCCUUUAGGGUCUAUAUUGCUCAUAGGACCUAUUCCAGGCUGCUUAGCCUGGCUUAGAGUAUCAUGCUCUGAGUACUACCCCCUCUUACUUAGAGGUUGCAUGAUACAAUUGUUAAGAAUAGGGCUCUAAAGUCAUCUUGCCUGAUUUAAAAAUGUGCCUUCACCUCUUCUUGCCCAUCAUCUUGGGGAUGUGUGAUAGGCACCUUCUGUUUUCCCCUCUGAAUCUGUACAUCACCCUUCACCUGCUCUGCCAAGUAGCUCCCCUGCACUCUGAAGCCACCUAGCUCCCCAGCUCAGCAGUGCCACUUGGAUUUGGCUGUUGAAAGCCACCUGCAGGACCUCCUCAGGACACCAAGAGAGUACUCCCUCCCUGCUGGGCUGCAAGGGUUGAUAGUGCCUGUCUACUGAUGGCCACAGCUCCAAUUAGACAGACCUCUCCUAUUCUGGGUUCUGGGUUCUGAUAAUUGCCUUCUCUUCUUUAUGGCCUAAGGAUCAUAGCAUCUUUUUUCACAUUACCAGCCCCACGGUACUGUACAAUCCAUGAUGACUUCCCUAAACCCAUGGUUUUCAAACUUCAGAGUGCAUCAGAAUCACCUAGAGAGAUUUUUAGUAAAGAAACUGCUGGACCUUAUUCCCAGAAAUUAAGAUUAUGUAAUUCUAGGAUAAGGCCUGAGAAUUUGUGUUUCUUACAAAUUCUUAUAUGAUGCUGGUAGUCUGGUCUAGGGAACCACACUUUGAGGACCAUUGGCUUAAACUAUGUUCACAGCUUGAUAAAUAAUCCCUCUAUUACACAGUCCAGAAUUAUCCAAUUUGAAUGUUCUGUGGGUUCACCAACUGAGUUAAUAUGCCACUAACCUCUCUGGGACCCAGCUUCCUAAUCUGCUUAAUAAGGUAAAUAGUAAAAUUGUUCCAGUCUUAUAAUUCAAUGGAAAGAUGAAAUGAGAGAAUGGGUGAACAGUAUGUGGCAUGAAACAAAGGCUGAAGAUGUACUAGCUAAUGUUACCAAGUAGCAAAGUCUCAUUCUUGCCUGCUUUCCAAGGCAUAUUCUGUAUUUCAGCCAAAUACAAGUAAUUAAAAUUGCUCAAAAAUAAACUCCCACAUUUCUAUGGAUACCAUAGUUAAUGUAGGUACUUUAGCCUGAAGUGCUCUCUGGCAGCUUUCCUGCCUCUUAUAUUUGUAAUUUAAUGCUUCAGAACUCAAUUCAAGACUCCGGUGCAUUCUUAGGAUGAAUGCUUUCACUUUCACUUCCUGAGGCCAUCAUACUUUUAUCCCAACUUGGUUUUAAACUUGUCAUAGGACACUCUUUUCAUGCUUCUCUUCCUCACUGCACUAUUGUGGGUAGCCAUAGUGUUUUAUACAUCUUGGUAACCAUAGUUCCUUGUCUAUUACCUGAAGCAGAGUAAAUAUUCAAUAAAGUUGAAUCAAAUUAAUGCAUGAAUUAUUUCUAGGCUUUGUUUCCUAAGAGUGACCAUGUAAUUUAGUUUUGCCUACAACACUGAGAAAAAUAGAAACCCAAACCCAAAAUGUCAGAAACCAUUAGCACUGUAGUGGCAAUGUGCACCUUUACUGUCACUGUUUCUCAUUAUCUGAAUAAGACAGCACAAGGAAACAGAUGGUUUGGGAAGGCAUAAAAUAAACACCAGUAACACAAAACCUGCCAUUCAAUAACACUAAUCACACCACAGAUUUUGGACAGUGACGUCUUCUCCACUUGCUAAUAAAACUAUUGUGAAACAUAUGUUCUGGGAAAAGUGAAAAUAGAUAAAGGAAAGUAAGAAAAAUUUCAAUCCUGCCACUUGCUUUAAAAUACUUGUCUUUCUGGGAUGCUUUGCUACAAAUUUACUGAGUAUACAUAAAACGUUCUCCUUUUCAGAAGGCUCUUGUAGCAUAUAACCCUUCUCUUAUUUACUUUGAAAACCAACCUGUGCUUUCUCUGAAAUCCUGUCAUUUUUGUUUGUAAAAGUAUUUUAUAUUCUAAAGCUGAGAUGAUUUGCAUAGGUCCAGGGUUCUUAUUUCGUACAGAUCUGACAGCUUUUCAGCAAAAAUAUUUCAAAGCCAUUAUGUAGAAUUAUUAUUUUAUGGCUUUUCUAAAGGAUCAUUUUGACUUUUAAAAGUUUUAUGCUUUUGCGUGUUUAGAAUUUAAAUCUUCAAGUAGAUACAUCAAGAGAAUCAGUGGAAUUUUUGGCUCUAUGCAGAAAAUUUUAUAAUAUAAUGUAUUUGAAAUAAAAGUAGCAUGACCCAUUUCUGUACCAGAGGACAUGGCACCAGGUCAGUUUCACUAUUGGAAAGCAUCAUAUAUAAUUUUUUCCUUAUUAAAUUUUCACCUUGGUCAAGUCUCCACUUGUUGCUCCAGUUAAAACCCUGGCUUUAGAAUGCCAUAUUAUUUUUUAAAAUGUAUAAAAGAUAGUGUCUGAAACCAUUUAGUAUUUGAAGAUUUUUAACUGAAAGAUAUUUGACUCUUAGAAAAAGAUACUUGAUAAUAAUCCAAACACAGAAAUUUUUUAUUGGAUUCAAGUUAAAUUCUUCCAAAUUCAACCCACAAAUACUUGGCACUACUUAACUCUCUGGGUAAAAUGUAAAAACUGGCUCAUCCUUCAAAUAUUUAUUUGGUACUUUCUGUACUCCAGGCAUUGAACUUGACGCUGAUGGUACAAAGAAGAAUGUCAGACUUGUAUCACUUAUUUCCUUGGGUUUACCAAAAAUCAUUGUGAAAUGAGGGAGGCAGGUCCUUAGAGAAGUUGCUAUGACUCAAUGAGAAGUCAAAAGGAGCUGAGUGUUACAGGAAUAUAGAGAAUGGAGGGAUGAACUGAGAGUCAGAGGGAUUAUUCAGUUAAGUUGAGAUACACCAGUGGGAAAUUACUAAUGGAAUCUGAGAGCAGAGACUUACAGACACAGGACAUCAUGCUGAACAGAUGCAAAACACAGAGAAGUGAACUCCCAAGUACUCUGAGACAACAUCAGACUUUAAACUCCACAAGAAUGAUAUAGGAAAAGAGGAACAUGAGAUGAAGAGACAGUGCCCACCCUCAGAGUCAUAAUCCAUUUGUGCAUGUCUGGGAAGAAGACAGAGAAAGAAAGUUCCAAACGCAUUACUGUAUGACAGCAAACCAAGAAGUUGAAUGAAGGACAUUGCAUCCAUUCUUCAUGAUGGCUGGAGAAGGUAUGGAAGAGGCAAGCCACAUGUGUAUGGAAUGGUUUUUGAAGCAUAAGCAUUUGGAUACAUCUAAGAUUUGGAACAAUCUUCACCGUGAUCGGGCAAUGGCUUAUAUUGCAGUAUCCCCUACUUUGCCUAACAAUGUAAUGUAUUCACUUUGUUUUACAAUUAAUUUCUAAUGAGUUCAAACUUAUAUAUCUUCCUUGUGUCUUAAAGUAAAUUUCAAAUAAUGGGAUGUCAAGCUUCAGAAUAGAGGGGUAGAGGUAUACAUAUAUAUUCUGUUAUAUAUUGCAAUGAUCUCCCUGAUAUUGAUUUAAGUAAUCACUACCUACCUCAAUUCUGACAUUGCUAUAAAUCACAAACCCUGACAAAUUUUAUAGCUGCCACCUUUGUUUGCUCCUAUACUCUUAAAUCUAUCCAGUCCACCUAUGCAUGAAGUGGGAGGAAGAAAACCACCACAAACUAAACUUACAUCUCCAGCUUGACAUCAGGAAGUUCCAGACCCCCUCAAUAUCUACUGAAUAGGUUCGUGCUCUCAUCAAGUUCUGCUACAUAACAAAUUCUUGAACUCUGAGAGUUCUCUCUCACUUCUAGAACUCAUCUUGCUGCGGAGUGGCAUGGAGAAUUUAACCCCUGCAUCUUAAACAUGCUACUUUUCAUAGGACAUAGUUGGAGCUCACACUCUUUCUCUUCUUUUAGAUAUUUUAGUCAAUGAACUGUCUUAAACAAAUAUGAAUAAUGGCUGUUUUUCAGAUAGCAUCUGCUUAAUUUAGGUUCCCAGAAAUAAAUACU